rnacentral:rRNA from 1 species
AUUGAACGCUGGCGGCAUGCCUUACACAUGCAAGUCGAACGGUAACGGGCCUUCGGGUGCCGACGAGUGGCGAACGGGUGAGUAAUACAUCGGAACGUGCCCGAUCGUGGGGGAUAACGAGGCGAAAGCUUUGCUAAUACCUCAUACGAUCUACGGAUGAAAGCAGGGGACCGCAAGGCCUUGCGCGGACGGAGCGGCCGAUGGCAGAUUAGGUAGUUGGUGGGAUAAAAGCUUACCAAGUCGACGAUCUGUAGCUGGUCUGAGAGGAUGAUCAGCCACACUGGGACUGAGACACGGCCCAGACUCCUACGGGAGGCAGCAGUGGGGAAUUUUGGACAAUGGGCGCAAGCCUGAUCCAGCCAUGCCGCGUGCAGGAUGAAGGCCUUCGGGUUGUAAAAUGCUUUUGUACGGAACGAAAAGCCUUCUUUUAAUACAGGAGGGUCAUGACGGUACCGUAAGAAUAAGCACCGGCUAACUACGUG